rnacentral:tRNA from 1 species
GGGGGAUAGCUCAAGUGGUAGAGCACAUGCUUAGCAUGCAUGAGGUCCUGGGUUCAAUCCCCAGUACCUCCU